rfam:Rattus norvegicus chromosome 15, whole genome shotgun sequence.
GGAGAGAUGGCUCAGCAGUUAAGAGCACUGGCUGGUUUUCCAGAGGACCUGGGUUCAAUUCCUAGCUCCC